rnacentral:snRNA from 1 species
GUAGUGUGCUUUCUCUUCAGUUCGUAUAAAUCUUUCGCCUUUUACUAAAGAUUUCCGUGGAGAGGAACAUUUAUUUUGGCUUAAUAGUCUUUAUUACUUCCCUAAAUAGCAGAACA